UGACUCGUAUUGGACUAAAAA
ensembl:piRNA 21ur-1016 ncRNA